CAAUGCACAGCACAGCCCUCCACAGAAAGGAACUACCCAGUUCAAAAUGUCUAUAAUGCUGAGGUUGAAAAACUCUGGUCUAAAAAAUGGGUAUGCAGUACUGUUCAUACUGUUGAAAAUGCUGAGCAUAUGUAGAUACACAUUUAAUUGGUGCAAUGGCUUCUGACACCAAUUAUGCAGAGUUAGGCUUAACUUUAAAGGUUAAGGACAUUGUUCUUACUUUAGACACUAGUCACGAGUUCCAGAGUCCCCAGGCCGGUUGUACCUCUAACCAGCAGGCUACAAAUUUGGGGGUCCUUCCUUACCCCCUCAGGGUUUGAUAAUUCACUAGAACAACUCACAAAACUCAGGAAAACAUUAUGCUUCUGCUUUAAAGUUUUAUUAUAGCCAAAUAGUACAAAUCAGAACCAAUCAAAAGAAGACUCACAAAGGGUGAGAUCUGAGGGGUCCCAGACACGAAGCUUCCAUGUUCUCUCCCUUUGUUAUGAUAUGUCAACAUGUGAAACUACACAGAGGACUGCCAACCAAGAAUGCUUACCUGACCUCGAUGUCCAGAGCUUUCAUUGGGGUUUCAUUACGCAGUGAGAGCAACAGGCCAGCUGGAGGUAAAACUCACAAGAAUGUGGGGACCCCUACUAUUGGAUGUCUUCGGAGCUUUUCACUCUGAGCUAGCCUGAGUCCACACCAAUUGAUCAAUUAUCAAUAAAUUUGGCCUACCGACGUUGGCUUCAGCUGCGGGCUGCUGCUUCCGGGUUUUGCUUCUGAAACUAUAAAGGAGCCUUGGCCACAAAAAUCUCCAUAGUAGAAGAUUAUACUCAUUGAAAGAAGCUUUGAUUCUUAUGCAUCCUAAAGAAACUGCCAUACAGUUUUCAAGAUUGACUAUACCAUCCUACAUUUCCACAAUGUAUGAAAGACCUCAUUUCUCCACAUCCUCACCAUAACUUGGAUCAAAUGAUAGAAGACUUGUGGGAUCACAAAUAAAAAUGUAUCACUGAAGGACCUAACAAAGGUAGGAUCCCUUAAAAGAAAUUAAGCAGAAUUUCAAGGAAUGGUUCUCCUCAUUGUGUUUUUCUAGCUGGAUUCCAUAGUAUAUGUGUUUCAUUUAUUCCAUCAUCUAAUUACAGUAAGACUGAUCUUUAUGUUUUCUGAUUUUAUCACUCCUACAUUAUGAGGACAUUAACCAAGUUCAUCCUUAGUGGAUACUAAGUGAAGACACAAAGUCAUUUAUUAACAAGCAUGAAAUCAGUAUCCUCUAUUUCCUUGAUUUUAUGCUUCCAUAAAAAUAUAUUCUUUUAGGUUUUUAUUAGUGUAGAAUAUAUGCAUUCAAUUAAUAAGGAUCCAAGUAUCUACACUUCCUGAAAAAGUCAUACUUGUUACAUUUAAAGCGCAAUGUAAUGUAAAGUUAUUGUAUAAAUGCAUGUCUAUUCUGUUUCUUGGUUAUAUUUGCUUUACUUUUAAAUCUGAAACAUUUCUGGACUCUUUGAUGAAAGGUUUACAUUCUAAACUGAAUUUAAUUCUGGAACCACUACAGAGCACUUUGUGAUGGAACAUUGCCAAUUAAAUAUCCACAAAUGUUUUUUUUUUUAAAGUAUAAGUCUCUGUUCCAUAAUUCUGGUAUGUAGUCUUUAGGUGGCACUGUGGUUCCAGUAGUAAAUGAUUUAAUAUUAGAGUCUUUUGUUAGGUUUAUGAAUAAAGAACUCUGCCACUAUUUUUGCAUUUAUUUUUCAUACUUAUGCCUUGUAUUACAGGAAUUAUAACCUUUUCUCACAUAUUAUUUUACAUUAUUGUAAACCUAAGAAUUAAGCAUAACACUCCUUUUAUUCCCCUUUGACAGAUGGCAAAAAUAAGUCUCAGAGAAGUUAAAUGGUUUUCACAGGCCUCCUCAUGCCCUACAGAAUAUUUUGAAAAAGAUGUUUUAUCUUUCUUCCUGGGCUGUGUCUGCUUUAGGGUCAUGCGCUUUCCCAAGUCCCCCAGCUCCAAAAUGAUUGACACUGACUUUGGUGAUGUUACUCACUUGGAUGAUGUUUCUGUUGAACAGAGAGCAGUGACGGUUUCAGUAUGCCACGGUUCUCUUAAUCUCUUCAUCUCUUUGUUCAUCUUUACAUCUCUAUUCUAAAAGAGGACAAUAGGCUUUAAAAAGUGUUUGGGUAAUUAAUGAACAUAGGGCAUAACAUUUAGAACUAUAUGCUAAAUGAAACUGUUCACGCAGUACAAAGGAAACAUACCUAACAAGAUAAAUAUUUUCCUUAGUGUUCCUCUAAAGGGACUCCCUUUUAUAUGUCCAGUUCCUAAAUUUAAUAUUCUGUUAAAGUUUUUGCCUAUCUGUUGAAAAUAUCUUCUUUCUCCAAACUCGAGUAUAUAAUCUAGAUCCAACUUUUGGGGAAACCUAACUAAACUAUGUAGUUGGUAUCCCUGCUUCUCUAGAAAGGCUUUCCAUAAUUUGACAUCUCCAACCAAUAAAAUAUGUGUUGGGCUUCAGUUAGAAAUUCUAUAGGCAGUCCUCAGAGCAGCCCAUUAAUGGGCUAGGCAUUCUCAUGUUCAUCCUCAAGUUCAAUCUCAAGUUCAUGCUCAAGUUACCCCAAAACUUCCCACACUCCUUUUCUUCAGUGGAAUUAGUAAUUCAUUGUUAGGUGGAGCACCAUCUCACUUUCAAAUGGUGCUCCUUUGGCCUGCAUAGAAUAAGAUUUGGGUCAAUGCUGAUCCAUGUGGUCUUACUCACUACUUCUCUGACUAUACCAAGGUAUGACUAUGGUUUCCUAUUUCUAUUUGUAAGUAGUCAAUUAAAUUAUUAACAAAAGACUCUCCUCUUCCCCAGGCUGGAGAGAGAGGAGAGAAAGAAAGUGCAUUGCUCUAAUUAUAGCUGGAACGGCUUGUUUGUUUGCAAAUAUGAAUUAUGGAAAAAGAAUCCAAUGUCAGUUUCUUUAAUGGUGCUUUCUAGCCCCUCUUGAUUCUGAUACCAAACUUACUGUUUCUCUGAGUUUAUGCUAUGUAACUUAAAAGCACUUUCCAAAAUGUUGACUGCUUACUGUGAAAUGCCAAAGGGAGGGCAGAGCCCUUAAUCAUGGAGAAUUCAGGACAGAGGGAAAGGUAGAGCCAGAUGGUUGGAAAUAAUGUGGCUGACUGAUACCAAAUUGCACAUCAAUUUUACAAUACCCAAUCGGGUUUCAAAAGUUAUAUUUGAGUGAUUUCUAAUUUCUUAGUGCCUUGCUUAUAAUUUUCUUAAUGGUUUAAUGUCACAUCAUAUUUGGGUCACAAUUAUAUUGUAUUAGAAAUUUUCUAAUAACAAGGAUUAUGUUUUUUAUUUUAGUGUUUUCUAUCAUAAAGCCUUUUGUGGUCUCACACUGACAGUAUCUUACCAGCCUAGGAUUAAAGGGAAAAAUAAACUUAUUUCCACAGUAUUUCUCAGAUGACUGUAGCCCAAACAAAGCUUGUAUUAACAAUCUUAAAACAAUAACUUUAUAUUUCAAUAAUCACUCAUCCUCAAAGUCCCUAUGAGUACAUAUGUAUAUAUGUUGCAAGUGAACAGUUAAUAGAUGUGGAUUUAUUGGAUCCCUGUAACAACCUGAAAGAGAAAUAUAAGCAAAGAAAUAAGAAUCCACAUACAUUGUUUUAUGGAAGAGGGUGAUGAUAUCUAUUUUAUAGAUGAGGAACCUACCUUUCAAUAAGAAGGCAAAUAAUUUCCAUAAAUUUCACUACAUUUCCUACAUUUCUAAAAAUAAAACAAAAGUCUGAAUAUAAGAAAUUAAAGUAAAAAUAUUUUCAUUUGUAAGUAGAGAAGAGACAAGAUGAGUAUUUUGUCCUUUAGAGUAUAUGAACAUUUGUGGAUAUCAGAAUUAUCCAGACACAUAGGAGACCUGAAUAUAUUGACAUGAUUAAAAUAUAUUGCUUUUUUAUGUUGCCAUAGAACGUAUAUUAUUUUGACAAGAUGAGACACAUAUUUACAGCACUGCAUAUAAUUCAAGAUUUCAGAGUUUUAAGUUUCACUGUGAUCAAAAUUGAUACUUCUUAAAAACUGUGAACUUGUAUUCAGAAUUUGGGGGACAAAGAACUAAAAGGCAAGUGAAAAUUUCCUUGAGGCAAUUACAUUAAAGCCAAAUAACCUAGAGAAAAAUGAAGGAAUGUAUGUAUAAAUAUAUGCUAGUUAAUUUUCACACAUAUAAAUACAUUAUACAUAUGAUUGUUUUAAAAUUAUUGGUGAUUUUUCUGGGGUAUUUCAUCUUCAUUAAUGGUCAUUUUAAACUAAUGAUAUGAAGGUCCAUUUAUACUCCUAGGGUCAAUGAAAACAUGAUUUAGGUUCUUAGCUAAAUUUCAAUCAAUGCUGUGAUACUUUCCAGCUAAGUAUUUUUCAACAGUUUCUUGAUCUCUGAAAACUUUGAUUUAAUUACUCACAUAUGGAGUUGAUGGGAGGGUGCAAAGACAUAUAACACAUGUAGAAUAUCUAACCAGGUGCCAUUUUAAUGGCAUAGUAACACUGUAAUAAAUGUUAGAUAUUAUUGUGAGCUACUAUUAUGACACCUUAUAUCAUAGAUCUCAAAUCAGUUUUUGACAUAUUAUAAACAUAGAUGAUAUUUGAUUAAUUUGAUUAAUGAUUAAAAAUAUGCUUUAAGAAGUACACUUAGAAGUUGCUUUGUGCUUUAAUUUGUAGACAUUCCAUACUCUGUAUUUCAUUUUAUCACACACAUUUUAUUACAGAUAAUGUGCUUUUGUCAAAUAUUCCAAAUUUCCUUUGGGAUGGACAAAAAGUACUGAUUAAUAUAUUUUUAAAGUGUGAAGAGGUGAUUUUCAUUGACUGUAUUGUGAAAAUUAAAUAUGAAUAAUUAGUUUAAGAGUCACAUUUAACAAUAUUCAGUUGAAAUCAUCAAUAGUAACUUUGUCUACUUCCUCCUUGAGUUUAGCAUUGCUAGCUUUAUGAUAGCAAUUAUUUUGAGUAAUUCUUUGGUAAACUCCUUACUUCCAGGACUGUACAUGCUUAUUCUUUCCUCUGUUCCAAUUUAACAAGGCAAUUUUGGGGAUUUUUACAAAAUUUAAUAUUUUGACUUCAUGCAAAUUCAACAGUAUGUUUAUGCUUACAUAUUAAUUAAAUGUUCUUGUUAAAUUUUCUUGCUCUUCCAACUUUACCAAUGAGUACACAAAAAAUCUCAAAUAAAGAAUUUAACUGAAUGUAUGACAUAUUUUUGCAUGAUAAAAAUAAGUAGUUAUUUUGAUGUAUCUCUGGACUAAUACCAGGGUUUAGUAACUUAAGCAGUAGAAUGUUUGCCCUCAUGUUGAUAACUUAUGACAGGCAUCAACAUGGCCCCUGAGUUUCAGCAUAUAGCCCUCAAGGACUAAGAUCACAUUAUCAAACUAAAUAGCAUUGGAGCCUCUGGUGUUGUUAGCCCUCUUUCAAUAUAAUCUCUAAAGCCCUAACUCCACUCCCUCUUGGGCAGCCUCACUCCACUCAUUACAAGUAAUCAUGCCCUUUCCAUCUUUGUAUUCAAAGACAUAGUACAGUGACUGCUACAAAUUGGGUGUUGAGGAAUCAUUUGGUGAAUAUGUUAAUAAAUGAAUUAGUGAAAAAUGAUACAGUGAAGGCAUAAACUAGGAAAAUAUAAUAAGCAUAUUUUAUCAGCCACUGCUUGUGGUUGUUGUAUUAGAAAACAAAAUUGACUGCUUAGAAAGUUAGACUGGUUACAGUUACGUAUAUGGUAGAUUUCUGAGAAUCACUUCUGCUACCAUUUUCUGUAAAGUUUAACAUACCUGAAGUUCUCAUAGAGGAGAAAAGGUCGGCUGAGGAGAUUUGAUAAUGCAGUUCUCUCAAGAGGCUUGGUGAUUGUCGAGUGUUUUAAAGAAAGUUGCAGGGCACUUUUGCUAGGAUUUAAGCUGUCACUCUGUCCAUUUAAGUCCUGUACGUAAAGAGAAAUCUCUUCUCCAUGUGAGUCUUGGGUUGAAUGAUCUCACUCACAUGAAAGUCCCUUUCAAAGUUCUUCUGCCCCCAUAAAUAAGGGCUUCUAAUUCCCCUAGCAUCCUUUUUUGAGUGAUUGGGAAGACUAACCUGAGAAAUUUCCUGUCUCCUCUUGUGAUUUCCAGGGAAAAAAUCCUUUAGCAGUUGAACUUAGUUGAGAUUAUUCUGGCAUGUAUUUCUGGACUUGUUCCCCCACCGCCUUUUUUCCCCCUCAGAACUUGCAUGAAUAGUCUUUACUUCAACCUGUAUAGAGAGUAGACUUUAGAGUUUUCAUACCUCCUAGUGUUUUCCUCCUCCUCUCUCUCUCUUCCUGGAGUCUUAUGGGUUCUCCUUUUAGACUGUCAACAAAAAUGAGUUGCUUAUCCGCUUCUUUCAUCCCAAGUAUUACUUGCCUUCCCUGGAAAAUGGACAGUCAUAGUAUCUUUCAGGUUUCCCCAAAUAAGUCCCCUUUCUUAAGAAAGUUAAAAUUCUUCAGCAACUAAUCCUAUUUCUCCUACAACCCGACCACCAGUCCAGCCAACUAAACAAAACACCUUCACCAUGGUAUUUCACUACUUCCUUCCCAUUUAAAACAGAUUCAUUCAAAUAAUACUUUGUAUGUAUUGAAAUCCUGUCUAGACUAAAAUUUUUUUGAAUACAGAAAAUGAACUAUAUAAUUGUUUACUUUCUAUGUGUGUUCUUAAAUAUUUGUUAAAAAAAAGUAUAAGUGUAAAGAAGUCUGUGUUUUUCUGUUUGUUUUGGUUUUGUUUUUUAUGGAAACACACAACCUGGGUAGACUAAGGUACCAAAGCUAUAUAGAACUGAAGGAACGAGAGAAAACACACAUCUGUGUGCUUUACAAGUUACUGAGUUCUCCUUGAACUGUAAUUCUGGAUGAAUAUGUAAAUAUACUGUGUCAGAGGAACUUAAAGAUUAUUAUAUCAUGUAAUAUAUGAGGAGAGAAUUUCAUAGAAGACAUUUUCAACAUUAUUUUAAGUAAAAUAUUUACCUUCAUCUGUUUUUAAUUCCUCACACUACACAUAGGUUCUCUUGAACUAUAUAGCUUUUGGUACUCCUGAAAGAGGGCAAAAUUCCCUUUUAAUCAUGAUCCUAUUUUGUCCCUCUAUACCUCCAAGAAGACAAGCUUUUUUCUGUAUAAAGAUUUUUAAAUCCUCAAAAUGUUCUUUAUGCCUCCGGCUUCUUAAUUUCUAAAGUGCUCUUUACAGACUAAAAGACACUCUGUUACUUAGUAGUAACAUAGAUGCUAACCAAAACAAGAAGUAGUUGAGCACUAACAAAGCAUUCUGGGUAAUGGUAUAAAAAUUGUCACAUUAGGCAUUUUUUUAAACUUAUAUUCUGCUUAAGUUUGUAGAAAAAAUUACUGGUACUCUUCGUCAUUAAAUUGAGGCUACUAAUAAAAUGCUAAAUUAAAAAGAAAAAGAAAAAAAUCUUAAUAGUGUUUGAUGGUGUGCUUUCUUACAACGAACGAGUUCGUUGCCAAGGAAGUGUAACAAAAAUCCUACCGUUUGUGCCAGUAGAGUGAAAACUUUGAGUUAUAAGCAAUUAAACCAAUUCCAGCUUAAAGUAAAUAUACCAGCAAGUUGCAUGUUUCCAUGCCUAUUAUUUUUAUGACAUGAAUAGAAAAGAGAAAAGAAAUACUUUGUGGUUAUAUUUGUUGCUGUAGCAGGAUCUGGGCUUACUGCUGCUCUAUGUUUGUAGAAUUUCUUUCAGAUACUUAUUUACUCCUGGGCAUUUCUAUCAUUUUGAGGAAAAUAACUAUUUGGCUUUGCCCCAUCUACACCAUAUGAUGCUUGGAUGAAUUGUAUUUGAAAAAAAAAUAGUUUUAUUUAAGUACUUUUAGUUAGCUACAUUUCUCACAAAAAUAAUGUAUUUUUAAGAAAACAGUGUAAUUACCAUUUAUUGGUCAUGUUUAGUAGAUACUUUGCAUUUUAUUUGUGGUACUUUCUCAAGAACUUUUAUGUUUUAAAAUUUCAUCUGUAAUCCACAUAGUUUGACUUACGAUAUCACUUAUUAUGCAUUCUGGAAAGUUCUUAUGAUUAUGUUUAACCUACUUGGGAUGCAGUUCAGUGUCAAGGACUAAACAUCAUUCCCCACUCAAUACAGACUCUAAUUGGGUUCAUUAAAAACAAAAAAAAACAAAAGCACUCUAUGGAGAUACUAUGACGGUUUAACAUCCCUCUUUCUUUAUCACUUCCAUGCAUGUAUAUUUCUUGACCUUUAGUAGCUACUUCUCUACACAUUCAUGACCUUGCCUGACUUUAAGCACUGCUUAGAUAUCACCUCCUCUGUGAAGUUUUCUCUGAUCAUCACUAUAUUUCAGAAAAUCCAUUCACUUUAGCAUCUCAUUGGAACUUAGGCAUAUAAUUUAAGACCAUUAAGUGAUUAUGCUCAUGUUUUUUGCACAUAUUCAUUGGACUUUUUUUGUGUUUGUCCUGUAAUUUUCAUUGGGAGUAUGAAUUUUCAUAUAUUUUAUCACAAAGGUUUCAGGAUACAGUGAUUACCUUGAUUUCACUCCCAGAUCUUCUACCUGCUGAUUAAUGACUCAUUAUUUUCUCUGUAAAAUAGGUCACUAAUUGGUGUUUUUGAUGGUAUCAUCAUAUUUCAUGAAAAAUAUUAAGCUCGAGUUGGAGGAUUCCAUAUUGAAUAUAGCAUAUAUGUUUUAUAAACUCUUCCUUAACUAGCUUGUCCCAUAUUCUAAAAGAUAUGUAUAUUGACAUGGAGAAGAAAUUCUAAAGGUGAAUACUUUAUAAAUAUUCUAUAAUACUUAAGUGCUUAGUCAUUUAUUUUCAAUCAGUAAUUACCUUAUUAGCUCAAAUGAUUUUAAAAUGGGACAUAGUUAAAACUCAUUCCAAAUCCUCAUUUACAGUUGAGAAAAGUUGAAAUCUAGCAAAUGUUGUGUGACUUAAGGCCAUUGAUGGGAGGUAUUAGUCAAGUGCCCUACUUCAAAAUUUCAUACUCUUUCUUUAACCCAAUAUUAUUAUGAGUGCAAAUUUUUUUUCUUUACACUUUAAAAAAAAACCUACAAAAUCAUGUUGUAAAUGGUAUAUUUUUAAUGAGUGAAUGAAUGAAAGAACUACUGCUCAUAUUCAGGCUGUAAAUGAAUGCAUAUUUUGAGAUAUGUCAGCAAGGGUGUCCACAUUUAUGAAAACAAUUAUUAAUUUUUUCAAAAUAGUAAUUCAUAAUACCUUUUGAAAAAAACUUAUGACAAAUCCAAAUUAUGUUGCAUAAUUGGAAAAAUAUUGAGUGUGGUGCUCAGAUUGUUGGUUAGUGUUUUUGUUAGGAAAUUUUUUAUUGACAUUACUUGAGAAAUGUAUAUAAUUUUAUGAAUCUCAAGUAGCAAUAAGUCAAGAAAUCAGAAAAAAGAAAAUGUAUUAUAACCUUCCUGUGUAAAGUAAAUCUGAACCAUCAACAUAAAGAUGUUACCGGUUAGAAGGAAUUAACCUAAGUCAAACUGAAAGUAAGAUCAGGGAAUGUCAACAUGCACAAUCACAAGUUAAAGUCAACAAUUCCAAGAAUAUGAAAUGGAGAUCUGGUCAUGAUCUAUUUUCAUCAGACAAUCUUGUUUGUAGUUCUUGCCAUGUUAUAUAAAUAUGUGUUUAGGGGCCUAUCAGCUGCUAAUGGUGAGCCAAUCUUGGAAAUAAAAUAGAUAUUAAUUAGUCCAUAUAUACAUUUUAGUGUAUUUUACAUAACAUAGCAUAUUUUACAUAGAUUACAUGAAGGCUAUUCCAAAAAAUCAGUUUGGAAGCAAAAUAAGCAUUUAAUAAUUCAGCACAUAACUGAUUCUGCUCUGUGCUGUUAAACAUGUUAGUAUGUCCUAAUGCUUAAUUUUCUCUGGCAUUUUUCAGUGUUUGAUUAUUUGAUAUAGGAUGCAACAUAUAAAUUGUUUACAAUAUUUAAAUUUCACACACACACACACACACACACACACACGCACACACAUAUAAAUAAUUUCAGGAAUUCUCAGUAAUUCCAGAAUUCCAUCAAACAUCUUGCUUCCAAAUCCUAAAGAAUAACAUUUGUCAGUGAUUUGGUAACACUAGUGUUGUUUAUAAGUAGUUAUUCAUUUCUAGGACUAAUUGUACUAUUAAAUUAGUUUGUGCUCAGAGUUUUAAAUAGGAACUUUAGUCCAGGGCAGGGCAUAUCUUUUCAACACUUGCUCUUGAACUCAAAUAUAUUCAAUAUCCUAGUCAGUGUAGUGUUAGGAUGUAAUUUUAUAAAGUGUAAAGAUGAAGAGUAGAUGGUCAAAAUAUCAAUUCAAUUUAACAUGAUAAUUAUUAAUUAAACAUCCUCCAUCUGUAAGAUCCUAAGGGAGAUUCACAGAUAGUCAAGGAAUUGUUCUAUUCAGUGAUAAGUGUGUAACAUAAUGAGGGAAGUGAACACAUAAAUAACCAUAAUGCCUCAGUAAUAGAUAUAUAAGUAAUCUGCUCAGGCUCGUGCUCUCAGCUGAAUAUUUUAGAACUGGAAAACAACUUUGAGUGUCUAGAAUUGGCACAGGAUCCUAUUAAGUGCUUAAGUCUCCUAUGUUUUUAAGGUUUCCUGUUAAACCUAUUAAUUUUUACACUCUAUCGGUAGUAGCAAUGUUAACACAUCUACCCUAUAUUGAAUAACUACUCUGGAAUAGGCAUUUGUAAUACAUGAUUUAUGUUUAUUAUUAUUAUUCAUAAUAUAAACCUACAAAAUAGAUAUCAUUAUCCCUAUUAUUUUUUUACAGAGGAGUAAACAGAUUCAGAGAAGUUAAAUGGCUAAUGACUUAACACCUCAAAGCUCUCAGAUGGGCAAAUUUCAGUCAUACCUGUAUAUGUCUGAAGUUUAUUCAAAGCAUGAUGUAGACCAAGAGUCUUUGUUACAAAACAUGGGGUGUGAGCAUGUUAGGGGAGAAAAUCUUUUCACAAUCUCAUAGUUCUGUGUUCAAAUUCAUAGUGUGCCUAUUCCUAACUGUACAACUUACUUUCAUGGAGUUUUGUUUUCAUAAUCUGUAAAAUGAAUUUAAUUGGAAGAAGCAAAUUGAUUAAUGUUCAUCGAAGUAGACAAAAGCAAAGAAGUGUAAAAGAUCCUACAGUAUUUGGGUAAGGAUAAAGGAUAAAAAAUAUGAAAGAGUAUUUAUCCCAUAAGUACAACUAAAACUCUUGGGCAUUAUAUAUAUAUGAAACAAACCUAAGAAAACUUUUAAAGUUGUAGAGAAGAAGUCCAAUGAUUAGGAACAUCAGGACCCAAGGAAUGGUAUAAUGGUCAGUUCCUUGAGUAUUCUUUUUGCCACAUAUGUCUCUGAUUUAGAGUUAAAGAAGCCAACAACCAAGAAAUCUUGUUUUCAAGACUUAUUAUAUAGGUAAUUAAAACUGUGUUGUGCCAGCAAAGAGUUAAACAUGAAGAUCAAUGACAGAGAAUAGAAAAUUUCGAAUUUGACUUACACAAACAUAUCCAACUGAUUAUUUACAAAGGUCAAUGAUAAUACAGUAGAGGAAAGAUGGCCCUUUCAACAAAUGAUGCUGAAGGAAUUGGGCAUAAAUAGACAGAAAAAUAAACUUCAGUCUAAAUCUCAUACCCUAUAUAAAUUAACUGAACAUGAGUCACAGACUUAAAUGUAAAAUAUAAAACUAUAAAAGUUUUAGAAAAGGAAUAUAGGGGAAAAAAUCUUCAGGAUCUAGGGCAGGGCAAAGAUUCCUUAGCUUAAUAUCAGAGAAAGAUUCACAAAAGGAAAAAAAAAAUGAAUUUGACUUCAUCAAA